GCCAAGUGUGCGCCCAGCGCCACGCUUUCUGCAGUUUAAGAGAGGUUUUGUUUGGAGAGCUGAGUGAGUGGGUUGCGGUUUGGAUCUUGGAGCUUGGCUGGCCUCUCCUCGGUGGCCGUGUCUCCACCCUGUUCCCGCCCCAGGUCGGCUUGGUUCCCAGCCGGGCUCCAGGCGCCAUGGCUUCCCGCGGGAGGAAGCGGAAGGCCGAGGCGGCGCUGGCCGCAGCGGCCGAGAAGCGGGAGAAACCGGCUAGCAGCCAGAAGGGAGUGGAGGAGGCGAGCGUCGUUAUCGAGCAUUGCAUGAGCUGACGCGUCUACGGGCGCAACGCCGCGGCCCUGAGCCAGGCGCUGCGCCUGGAGGCCCCGGAUCUUCCAGUGAAGGUGAACCCUGCCAAGCCCCGGAGGGGCAGCUUCGAGGUGACACUGCUGCGACCCGACGGCAGCAGUGCGGAGCUCUGGACUGGGAUUAAGAAGGGGCCCCCACGCAAACUCAAGUUCCCUGAGCCUCAAGAGGUGGUGAAGGAGCUGAAGAAGUACCUUUCGUAGGGAGGUUUGGGCAGAAGUCUUCACGCUGAGGUAUGCCUACUCCUGCCCUCUUGUGUUCUCUGUUACCGCCUCUGUCCCUGGUGAUGUUGGAGCAUUUAUGACGGGACAUGGCCAAACUUCAGUCAUGUGCCUGAAGCUGUGGUUUCUUCUCCAGAAACGGUGGCUCAGUUGUGAGGCAAUCCUCUAGUAAGGCACUGAAAAGUUCUUGGAUUGGUUUAAUAAAAAUUAAAGUAUUUGAGUU